rnacentral:rRNA from 1 species
AUGGUAUGUUGUAAUGAUAUCCACCUUGCAAAAGCGUGUCAAUAUGCGGUUCUAUCCUUGGUGGGACCUUCGCAUCCCUUUAGGAUAGUGUCGCAUAUUGGGCGUGACGGGAGAGGGGCGAAUAGGUUUUUGGGAAGCGACUACGCGACUGCUCGCCGUUCGUCUACUUCCUCUACGUCCGCGUCGUCCUCGUCAUUACCAUGUCCACCAACGCCGAACGUGCCGCCGCCGAGAAGACCGAGGCCGACAAGAAGGCCGCCGAGGAUGCCACUGUUGUUGUCACCGCCGCCACGGCUUCUGCCUGGCCUACUGGAGGGUAUUACACGUUUAUCCCACUCCUGUUUAUUUUCGUAUUAG